GAGCCAUUUCCCACGGGCAGCACUGGGCAGGGGCUGUCAAGGCUCAGCACUCAAGGAGCCCACGUGCACUCGGUGCAGAAGCAGCACCCAGCCUAACGCUUGGGACAGCAGGAACCGAGUGGUGUGUAAUGGCUUAUCAAGGCAUCCCACACACUGACGACCUGCUGCAGAGCAUGCUUGGGAACACCAGGCCUUCACUACAAGUUCACAUGAAUUCAAGCUUACAGGGGACUCAUGCAAAGCCCUGUGCCUUGACAGCCAGCAGCACAGCUCUCACGAGUAUCUCCAAAGGUGUUUGUCCAGAGUUUAUUUGGGAUUGGUUUCCUUAAUUUCAUGCAACAGUCAUCAAAGCAAAACAGAAGUGGACGUGCUGCUGUCAGUGUGGAUGUGGAGUCCUCCGUGUCCCCCCUCUGCUCAUUAUCUGCAGGGACUGAAAUUUGGUUUGUUUUUUAUGCUUAGGAGCCAGAGAAAGCUAAGAUACUGCUUAAGUGAAGAGCCAUUAUUUACUGUUAAUAAAAUUGACACCGUAACACGUUCCGUAUGGCACAGAUAUGCAAUCACAUCUUGGCAUCAGUAACAGGAGGAAUUAUUCUGCCUGGCUUGCAGUCUUUUCUUCAUUGUACAAAGACAGUAAUUACCCAGCUUGGAACUAAAUGAACCCAACUGAAAAAAGCUGAUUGAUGAGAAAUGACUCCUGACUGCUUCCCAAACACAUCUUGGUUUGGAUGCCAUCACUGACAGCGCUGAUGCCAGCACCAGGUUGUGGCUCCUGCUGGGCAGUAUCCAUAGCCAGGAGUCAGUGUUCAGUGGUUUGGUCUCUAAGGGACUCCCAGCUUGAAGGAGUGAUGAAUAAACAGCGAUAAGCAUGCCAUAAACCCUUCCAAACUGACCCAUUUACAUGCAAAGUUGGUAUGUUGCAAAUUAUGAUAAAUGUAGUGCAGGCAAGCCACUCCACAUUAAUUCCUGGGGUAAAGAUCAUGCAGUGGCUUACUCCAGAUUAGGAAUUACUUUGCAUGAGGUUUCUCCAUACAGUGUGGCUAUCAGUCAGUGUGUGAUAAGUCCCUUUACAGCCCCAAAUACACCAAAGUCUCCACAUAUGCAUGUCUUUGGGCCAGGCUGUCAUCAUGCAGCAAGCUGUCAUUCCCAGGGCCAGCAAGAUCACCUGUUGCUCCCUCCAGCUUUUCCAUAUCAAGUUCAUGAAAUUUCUCUAAUUUUGCAUUUUAAAUUGAUCUAGUCAACUGCAAAUUGUUGGUUUUGUUGUUUUGUUGUUGCUGUUUUCACCCUUCCUGCAAAUGAAGCUUCCUGCAAAUGAAGGGAUCUGUUAUUCCAUUCAUCCUUUUUCUCAGCCCUGCACAAUUUUUCAUUAGCCGGUGAUGCAACAGUUUGCAAACAUGCUUUCCAGCUUGGUGUAGCUACUGAAAAGCCAGUGACCUUCUGCAUCCAGCUCGGGAGCAGUGUGUGCAGAGCUGCUGCGGAGCUGAGGAUGAACUUCCCAUGGUGAUGAAGAGGCACGAAGGAGUGUUUCUAAGUGCCCAGCUGCCUGCAUUCUUGUUCAGCUCAUCCUUUUAAGACUGCUGAGAUGUGAUUGUGUUAGUAAUGAUACGUUGCAGUGCCUAGAGGCCUGGAUAAAUAACUAAUGAGGCAUCUUAGUCAAAAUAAAAAAGAUUUUCCCUCCUG
ensembl:lncRNA